GGAGUCCACUCUAUGACACGGACUGCGUUUCCCUGACAACGGAAUGCAAAAUACAACAAAACUCACUUUGUGUGGUUUUUAUAUAUACACAACUUGAUGAUGCCGAUAUAUAAAGUCUCAUUCACCUCUGUUUCUUCCUGCACCGUGAUGCCCAUUUCUGAACCACGUUUUGGAUGAAGAAGCACUGAUAUUGAGUGAUACAGAUCAGACCAGCGUGAAGCACCUCCCCAUCCCUUACACAUGCCCCGUAUGGCGCGGCAUGUCUUUAUAUGCCGAACCUGAAAAUAAAGGCACUAUUUGCCGUACUGUCAAAAGUGUGUGUUUGGCGCUGAAGUCCAUCUUUAUUACCUUCCCUGGCCCCAGAAGAAUGUGUCACAUCAAAGAAGAUUUCCACAAGACGGUCCACAUAUUCUGUGUGCAGUCAGGAUGCGAAGCUCAACAUAUCUUGUCAGAAUUUGCUAGUUGCCACGUUCAGAACCAUUGUUCUCGAGUUGGCUGGUGGAGGCGACAGACGGGCACUAGGGAUGGUCAAAGGACUGACCUGGGGCCUGUUGGCUGCUGAGACCAGCGGCUCCUCAGCUGAGAUGUUCUUUUUACCACAACGCCAUCUCCUUUAUUAAAUACAUUUGAUUUUAACCUUUUGAUCAGCGAUGACCUCUGUCCGUCCGGCGUUUCUUCAUUUUUGAACACAACAGGCCGAAGUUUGUUCCUUUUCAAACUCCCCGACGAUAGAAGGCGCUAAGGAGCGCGUCUAUAACCCUAUUUGCUGCACAGACAUCCUGUUUACCCCAAAGAGUCCCCAAGUUAUCAACAGAAGAAGGUUUUCAAACAGACACAACAUGUGGUUCAAUUAAGUACUCACUCUCUGGAAUCUGGAAAGAAAUGAUUAGUUGUGUUUGUGCGUGUGAUUUGGAGUGGUGAACUCAGCUGUCAACAAGCAGCAGGAGAGCACCUUGUUAACCUCUUGGUGUACUGCAUGCUCAAAACAUCGUAGCGUUAUUCAUUACAGUUUUUUACGACUGGAUAAACACUAAAAUCAAAAGUAUUACACAAUUAUCAAAACCUUCACUCAAGGAGCAAAACCACGGCUCAGAUUUGCACCACUAUAAGCACAUGUCAAGCAGAAGCAGAAGCAG
ensembl:lncRNA